CAAAACUAAGAUUUUGCUGGUUUGCACCCACGCACCUACUUGUGUAUUGCAUUCAGAAACAAGAUAAAAAAUAAAACAAAGUCAAGGAGUUAAGGAUUACUAGAGUUUAAAUUUGAAAAUGUAUAAAUUUGAUCGAAUUAAAAAUAAACUGCGCACUUUAAAAAA